AAGCACACUAUCAAACCAAAACAAUAGUCGAAAAAAAAGAGGCCCAUCCCAUUCUUCUUUUAUAAAUAGUUGCCGGAGCGGAGAGCCAGCUUCAAAUACGUCAACAUAUUUUAAGAAAAGUUUACUUUGAGCAGAUCGAAACGAUCUAUUGAAGAAAAGCAGAAAAGUCGGUGAGAAUCGUUGAUGGCUGAUCCGGAUCUGAAAAAAUUACCAAAGAAAACCCUCAAGAAGGUUAUUCAAGAGUGCAAUCUAAGUGCAUUGUUAUCUUCAGAUGAAGGUCAAGCAUUUUUCAAGUCAUACCUGAGUCAUCAUCCAGAACACAGCAAGUACUGGGACUUCUACAACUCUGUCAGUGAAAUCAUUUUGAACUCUGACAACCAGGAGCAGCAACUAGACUCAAUAAAGGAGUGUUUUGAGAAGCACAUUUCCAUAGGAGCUGAUUCAGAGGAUAGGGUUGAUGCCUGUAUUCAAAACAGAGCUGAUGUAGAGAACUUGUCAAAAGCCAUCAACGAAAAGGAUUGUGAAAAUCUUCAAAAAAUUCUAAGUGAAAAGCAGCAAUCUGCUUUUGAAUAUUUGAAUCGAGAAGCUUUUCUCCCCUUGUUGCCUGAAUUCAAAGGGUGCACUUCUAAAAAAACAAGCUGUGAUCUGAGUUAAACCAUGUUGGCAACUUUCUGGGAAGACACAUCUGUUUAUUACUUUAUCACUACUGUCUUUGCCAUCAUUUGCUUAACACUAACAUGCCUCUGGAAUGCAAAAAACAUUACCCCCUCUACACCUCCCAAAGAACAACAGAAAGAUGGUUUAGGAUUUCUGAGUUCAAGAAAACCUCUUCAGUUAGCUAAGCAGUUGGAAGAAAAACUUCCUGAAGAAGUGAAACUCUUGGAAAAGAAGGUUGAAACAGAACAAAUGGAGGCUAUCUACAAGCUGAUGCAAAAGCACAGUGCCCAAUUUGGAGACACCACAAUGGAUGACAUGAAAAAUCAAAUGCAGCUCUAUGGUUUCUCUUGAAAAGCAAGCAAAGCCCUUUCUGGCAUCUCCUAACAUGUUGGCCUUCCAUAUUCUCUGUUGCCUGUUCCAAGUUGCACUAAACAAACACUAUCUAUAUAGACUAACCAUCGCAACUGCCCAAUCCUAAAUAACGAAACGACACUACGGAAAUGCUUGUUCUGUUUCAUGUGACUUUGUUCUGUUAAACAUAUGAAAACUUCAUAAAUCGAUAAUCUUCUCCGUG